rnacentral:lncRNA from 1 species
CCCUCCCAACAGUCCAAAAAACGGCUAAAUUGAGGGAUAUUUUGGGGAAAAAAAAUUUUUUGGGCUUCUAUAAAUAGCCCUUUCCUCCCUCAUUCUCACCACACCAAACCAACUAUUCUCUCCUUCUCUACUACUAUUAUUUCUCUCUUCUAAAGUGCUCUUCUAGCAAUUUAAUUUUUAGUUUGCAUUUAGCAAGUGUUCAAGUGCUACACAAGAGGAGGUUCCUGUUGAGAAGAGAAGGUCACUCCUGUUGAGAGCACAAGAGAAAGCUCAGAAUCUCGGCUCUGCCUCUGUCCUCCGACCCUCUACUCAAUUCCUCCUUGUGGUUAGUUUUUAUUUUUUGAAUUCAUCAAUUUAGAUAUGUCAUUUUUUGAGGAAAGUCAGUUUGGCAUUCCUCCUGUUUCUGAGGGAGAAGAAACUAAUCCCCAACCCCAUGUUCCUAGUUCCUCUAGAACUAGUGAACCGAGUGAAGAUCAAACCUCUUCUCGUAAGAGGACUAGUGCUGUAUGGAAUGAAUUUGAUAGUGUUAUGGUUGAUGGAGUCUGGAAAGCUAAAUGUAAAAAAUGUGCCAAACUUUAUAGUUGUAGUAGUAGUGGGGGAACAGGGCAUUUAAAAAGACAUCAAGAGAGUCAUAGGAUGCAUGAUUCUCAUGCUCAAACUCAAAGUAU